AUGAAGAAGAAGAAGAAGUAAAGCAAGCUUUGUGUGUGUUCCUGCAGCUUUCACCCAUUUUUAGCUUGCAGCAGCAAUUUUAAUUAACAUUGAAUUGUGCCUUCCCCUGCGCCCAGAACGAUGACAAAAAUUAUAAAAACAAACAACGAAAUUCCAUAGAAAUAUUUAUGCAGAAUAUUUUGACUGGAUGUUGACGAGAGAAGGAAACCCAAACGAAUUCCUAAACACACAUAAAGCGCUGUUGACCACACACAUACACACACACACAAGCUCACUGAUACACACACACCACACCACACACAUCAAGUCUAUAAAAUUGUGAUUUUAAUUUUAUGUUUAAUUUAAUUUAAUGCGACAACAUAGAAACUUUUUUUCGUAGCUCAUAAUUAAACGCGCGAGUCGAAAUCGAAAUUGAGUAAAAUACAAAUUAUAUAUCAAAAGCCAUUUAUCAUAUUUGCUUGUCGCUCUCUUAGUUGCAGUCACAUAUUAAAUUAAAUAACGGCUAAUUUAGCAAACGAUAAACCGCAUUAAUUAAUGAAAACAACAACAGCAGCAACACAAAUUGUUAAGCUUGCAACAGUUGCGAGCGCUGAACGUUUGGCUUGCAGCAAAUAUCAAAAUAAACACAAACAUAUACAUAAUAUAUAUUUAUAGCUAAGCAAUAUUACGCAUAAUCAUAAUAAUUAACUUAGCUGCAGUUAUGCAAGAACAACAACAACAACAACAAUUAUUAACAACAAUGUUAUGACUAAACUAAAUAGUUGAAAUGAAUUUUUUCUCCUCAUAAUUUAAAUGUUGUACGUUUGCAAGUUUGCAAUUUUAAUUCGAAUAACUAACGCUGUUUAGUCUUUAGUUGCACAGAGCUACACACACACACACAAACACACACUCUGACGAGUGUGCGAGCGAGAGAGCAUCUCGCUUGUGUUGUCUCUGCCUCUCGCAAUGCAUUGUCUUAGUCGUUUAGUGUGUACAUUUUAGUUAUUACAAUUACAAUCGCUUGAAUAGCAUUAUAUAAAAUAUAUAUGAAUAUAUCUGUAUGCAUAGUUUAUAUUAUAUACCUUAACUUUAUUCCAUUUGUGUCUAAUAAAUGUCUCAGAAAAAGAUUUCAAAAUAAAUUGUAUAUGCAAAACAAAAA